UAGAAGAAAGUGUAUUGGAAGCACAAAGAGUUUUGAUCUCUUUAGGUUGGGUUCAAAUCCCUUUUUUCUAA
rnacentral:tRNA from 1 species